GGGGUGGUGAUUCAGUGGUAGAGAGCUUGCCUAGCAUGUGUGAGGCACUGAGUUCAAUUCUCAUCACCACA
rnacentral:tRNA from 1 species